ensembl:lncRNA
AUUGGGUCUUGCGCCGAACUGCGCAUAUGCAGGUUGUCAAAUCAAAGGCACUCCUUCAAUACGAAGUUGUUUUUGAUUCAAAUUAAAAUGGGUCACUUUUCAAUCAAAUGCCGACCUUGUGACUGUACUAUUUGUGUUGUGGAGAAAUGACCAGGCAGGAGACGGGAGUACAGUUAGGUUUUCGUUUAGUAAAAAAAAAAGUGCUCUACAAGCCCCCGGCACAAUAGUGCGCAUGCGCAUUUGCUAUUAGGUGUAGUAACGCCGUAAUACAUCACUGCUUAGUUACUAUGCUGUUACUAAUAUAAACAGAUGUCGAUCACAGAUACUACACUCCUCCCCCAUAGUGUUUAACUCCCAGAGAAAGAGGUAAAUAUGUUAGGGAACUACUAAUGCAAUAUCUGAACAAUGCAUUCUUAAACAUUUUUCAACUACUGGGUUGAAGCAGACUUUUCAGAACCCAGCACAAAUCCAGGGGAUUAUUCUGCCCCGAAGAUGGAAUUUGUUUCCUAAUUACUAACCCAGAUUUCAGGAAACAGGAGAGGAAGCACGCCCCUAUCCACAUCGACAGGACUGCAGGGGAGAAGGUGGAAAGCUUCAAGAUCCUCGGAGUACACAUCACUGAUAAUCUGAAAUGGUCCACCCACAAAGACAGUGUGGUGAAGAAGGUGCAACAGAGCCUCUUCAACUUCAGGAGGCUGAAGAAAUGUGGUUUGGCCCCUAAGACCCUCAAACUUGUACAGAUGCACAAUUGAGAGCAUCCUGUCAGGCUGUAUCACCGCCUGGUACGGAAACUGCACCGUCCGCAACCGCAGGGCUCUCCAGAAGGCGGUGUGGCCUGCCCAACGCAUCACCGGGGCACACUGCCUGCCCUUCAGGACACCUACAGGAUGUCACAGGAAGGCCAAAAAUAUCAUCAAGGACAUUAACCACCUGAGCCACGGCCUGUUCACCCCGCUAUCAUCCAGAAGGCGAGGUCAGUACAUGUGCAUCAAAGCUGGGACUGAGAGCCUGAAAAACAGCUUCUAUCUCAAGACUGUUAAAAAGCCAUCACUAACCAGCUUCCACCCAGUUAAGCAACCCUGCACCUUAGAGGCUGCUGCCCUCUAUACAUAGACUUGGAAUCACUGGCCACUUUAAUAAUGUUUACAGACUGCUUAUCUCAUCGCAUAUGUAUAUACUGUAUUCUAUUUUAGUCAAUGCCAGUCCGACAUGGCUCGUCCUAAUAUUUCUAUAUUAAUUCCAUUCUUUUACUUUUAGAUUUGUGUACUGUUGUAAAUUGUUAGAUAGUACUGCACUGUUGGAGCAACACCCGCAAUAACAUCUGCUAAAUAUGUGUAUGUGACCAGUCCAAUUUUAUUUUAUUUGAGUGAUGACAUGUUCAGCUACUUAAGACAUUUGCUCCAAUCUAGGUUGUACCUUUAGAUGUUGAGAAAAUGAACAGCUAAGGAAGAAUUUUUCACUUCUCUACCUAUGUUUCCAUUCAGCCAUGAAUUACCUGACGCAUUAAAAAAGUCACCACCGGGCUGAUGGAAACAUGAAAUGCCGGUACAAAUUUUAUCAAUGGCAACAGACAAUUUGUUUGUUCGACAUUGGGGGGAAUCUUUUUGUGUCAAAAUACAUUAUGCGAGAAUUGGAGGUGGAAACGCCUUAAUGAGCAAAUAUUGAUAUAAUAAUCACGUCGAUGUAAACUUGGACUGAAGCGAUGAUAUGUUGUGCGGUAAUCCCACUACGCCUCGGGAAAGCAUGCAAUUUAUUAGGCAACAGAUGAAAUAAAUGAUGAACUUCACAAGGUGGUAAAUGUGCAAGGUGAUGAGCUUGGAGCUCCUUUCCAAUUAAUAUCGAGGGUCUUUUUCUGGUGACAUGAUGAUCGACGCUUGACUACCAUUUGACAAAUACAAAUAAUAUCACUCUUAUCCAUAAUAAUCUCAUAAUGUAGGUGCAAACAGUUGGCUGGAGCGAAUGUGCUUGAACUGGAAUUGGCACAUUUGCUAUAUAACGCAACAGUUUUUGAGACAAAACCAUCAGAGUUAAAAAUGCGAUGGAAACCCAUUUAACUUUCAUUCGAAACAUGCGAAUUUAAAACCAGUUAAUGUAACUAAAUGUAAUCGGAAAAAGUCAUCCCCAAAAGUAGUGAUUUAUCAUGAGUGCCAUAAAAAAUAACUAGAAAUGCUGCAUACUCAAAGAAAGGUUAAAAUCUCACCUUUCUGGUAAAAAUAGUUUAAAAUUGGUGAGGUGUAGUGAGUUGAGGAUAUAUGUAUAUAUGAUAAAAAUAUGAAAAUGUAAUAUUUUAUAUGACGCAUUUCCUAUUCAACAAAACUGUAUGAAUAAGGCUUGAAAUUACUUACAGGCUUUCUAAAUAUAGCGUAAUCAAAUUAUAAAACGACUAACAAACUAUUCAGACCCCUUGACUUUUCACAUUUUGUCACCUUACAGCCUUAUUCUAAAAUUUAUGAAAUUGUUUUUCCUCAUCACUCUACACGAAAUACCCCAUAAUGACAAAGCAAAAACAGGUUUUUAGAAAUGUUUGCAAUUCUAAAAAUAAAAAAAAAUGGAAAUAUCACAUUUACAUAAGUAUUCAGACCCUUUACUCAGUACUUUGUUAAAGCACCUUUGGCAGCGAUUACAGCCUUGAGUCUUCUUGGGUAUGACACUACAAACUUGGUACACCUGUAUUUGGGGUUUCUCCCAUUCUCCUCUGCAGAUGCUCUCAAACUCUGUCAGGUUGGAUGGGGAGUGUCGCUGCACAGCUAUUUUCAGGUCUCUCCAGAGAUGUUCGAUCAGGUUUAAGUCCGGGCUCUGGCUGGGCCACUCAAGGACAUUCAGAGACUUGUCCCAAAACCAUUCCUGCAUUGUUUUGGCUAUGUCCUGUUGUCCUGUUGGAAGGUGAACCUUCGCCCCAGUCUGAGGUCUUGAGCAGGUUUUCAUCAAGGCUCUCUCUGCAGUUUGCUCAGUUCAUCUUUCCCUCGAUUCUGACUAGUCUCCCAGUCCCUGCCGUUGAAAAAUAUCCCCACAGCAUGAUGCUGCCAACACCAUGCGUCACCGUAGGGAUGGUGCAAGGUUUCCUCCAGACGUGACGCUCGGGCAUUCAGGGCAAAGUAUUCAGAGCCCUCGACUUUUCCAACAUUUUGUUAAAUUACAGCCUUAUUCUAAAAUUGAUAAUUGCUUUUCCCCCCUCAAUCUACACACAAUACCCCUUAAUAACAAAGCAAAAACUGUUUUUUAGGAAUGUUUACAAAUGCAUUAAAAAAAUGAAAACCUGAAAUCUCACAUUUACAUCAGUAUUCAGACUUUGUUGAAGGACCUUUGGCAGCGAGUACAGCCUCAAGUCCUCUUGGGUAUGACGCUACAAGCUUGGCACACUUGUAUUUGGGGAGUUUCUCCCAUUUUUCUCUGCAGAUCCUUUCAUCCUCUGUCUGGUUGGAUGGGGAGCGUCGCUGCACAGCUAUUUUCAGGUCUCUCCUGAGAUGUUCGAUAGAGUUUUCCUCAAGGAUCUCUGUACUUUGCUCCGUUCAUCUUUCCCUCGAUCCUGACUAGUCUCCCAGUCCCUGCCGCUGAAAAACAUCCCCACAGCAUGAUGCUGCCAAUACCAUGUUUUACCGGUGGGAUGUUGCCAUGUUUCCUCAAGACAUGAGGUUUGCAUUCUGGCCAAAGAGUUCAUGUUGGUUUCAUCAGACCAGAGAAUCUUGUUUCUCAUGGUCUGAGAGUCCUUUAGGUGCCAUUUGGCAAACUCCAAGCGGGCUUUCAUGUGCCUUUUACUGAGGAGUGGCUUCCAUCCGGCCACUCUACCAUAAAGGCCUGAUUGGUGGAGUGCUGCAGAGAUGGUUGUCCCCCUGGAAGGUUCUCCCAUGUCCACAGAGGAACUCUGGAGCUCUGUCAGAGUGACCAUCGGGUCCUUGGUGACCUCCCUGACCAAGGCCCUUCCCUGAUUGCUAGGAAGAGUAUUGGUGGUUUAAACGUCUUCCAUUUAAGAAUGAUGGUGGCCACUGUGAAUUCUGCAGAAAUGUUUUGGUAUACCCUUCCCCAAAUCUGUGCCUCGACACAAUCCUGUCUCGGAGCUCUAUGGACAAUUCAUUCAACCUCAUGGCUUGGUUUUUGAUCUGACAUGCACUGUCAACUGUUGGACCUUAUAUAGAAAGGUGUGUGCCUUUCCAAAUCAUGUCCAAUCAAUUGAAUUGACCCCAGGUGGACUCCAAUCAAGUUGUAAAAACAAGUCAAGGAUGAUGAAUAGAAACAUGAUGCACUAGUUAAUGACUCCAACCAAAGUGUACAGUGGGGCAAAAAAUAUUUAGUCAGCCACCAAUUGUGCAAGUUCUCCCACUUAAAAAGAUGAGAGGCCUGUAAUUUUCAUCAUUGGUACACUUCAACUAUGACAGACAAAAUGAGAAGAAAAAAAAUCCAGAAAAUCACAUUGUAGGAUUUUUAAUGAAUUUAUUUGCAAAUGAUUCUGCUGAUGAUUCAGCCAUACUGGUAUCAGGGAAGGAUAUAGUUUACAUAGAUGAGACCCUGAGUAAGUAAUUUAAUUUUGUUAGAGAUUGGUUGUCUGACAACAAAUUGUCACUACAUUUGGGAAAAACUUUAUCGAUUUUGUUUGGAACAAAACUUAGAUUGCUUAGGGCUGACAAAAUAACGGUAACCUGUGCAAGCAAGGAGAUUGAAUCUAAAACAAGUGUAUCUUAUCUUGGUGUUUCCCUGGAGACCCGAUUGCUGCUAAAAUUCUUUCUAAAAUGGUGAACAAAUUGACAUUUAUAUUGCAACACUAGAUAUUUUAACAUUAAAGUUAAGAAACUGCUCGUCUCAACCUUAAUUUAGUGUAAUUUUGAUUAUGCCUGCUCUGCUUGGUAUAGUGGGCUAUCAAAAAAGCUGAAAAAGAUAAUGCAGGUCAUGCAAAAUAAUGUUAUCAGGAGUUCCCGGUGGGCUUGUUGCCUUUGGAGUUCAGAGUGGACCAACUUAAACUUGACAUCUUAAAUGAUUGUGCCCCAGGUUACAUGAAAAAAACACAUUGAUAUGGUCUAUAACCAACACAGUCACAAUACCAGAGCUAGUGUUAUGUCUUGUAAAAUGCCAAGAGUAAACAGUACUGCGAGGAGCAUGUUUUUCCAGAGGCAUUUGUCUAUGGAAUAGCCUUCCCUUGGAGAGCAAGCAAAGAAAAUGUAAAAUUAGAUUUAAAAAGCAGUUAAAAGGUUUCCAUUUGGACAAGUUUGUCUCAGUAAGAGAAACCACUCCAUUGCCCCUUGUGCCUUUAGGAUGUCAAUAUAAUUGAAUGUAUUUAUGGUUGUUUGUAAUUUUGUCUUGCCUUUUAAUCAUUAUAAGUGUUAUUGUUUUUACCGUCGAGGACCACUUUGGAAACAAGCGUUUUAAUUAAUACAAUGUGGACCUCGGGUUCCACAUUGUACAUUUUGUUGUAUAUGUCUGUUACUCAAAAUAAAAUCAAUUAUAUAGGAG